UACGGAGGAGGCAAGCGUUAUCCGGAAUUAUUGGGCGUAAAGCGUCCGCAGGUGGCACUUCAAGUCUGCCGUCAAAGACUGGGGCUUAACCCUGGAAAGGCGGUGGAAACUGAAGCGCUAGAGUGCGGUAGGGGUAGAGGGAAUUCCCGGUGUAGCGGUGAAAUGCGUAGAGAUCGGGAAGAACAUCGGUGGCGAAAGCGCUCUACUGGACCGCAACUGACACUCAGGGACGAAAGCUAGGGGAGCGAAUGGG
rnacentral:rRNA from 1 species